UCUUUCCCCAGAGGUGUUGCAGGUAUAGCUGUUGGGUCACCUGUGUGACUGUAUGUGACAGAGAAGAGAAAGGCUAUGUAUAUGUUAAGUGUUCUGACUUAUGAUCAUCUGAUUAGUAGCUUAACAUU